rnacentral:rRNA from 1 species
CGCGGCCUAUCAGCUUGUUGGUGAGGUAACGGCUCACCAAGGCGACGACGGGUAGCCGGCCUGAGAGGGCGACCGGCCACACUGGGACUGAGACACGGCCCAGGCUCCUACGGGAGGCAGCAGUGGGGAAUAUUGCACAAUGGGCGAAAGCCUGAUGCAGCGACGCCGCGUGAGGGAUGACGGCCUUCGGGUUGUAAACCUCUUUCAGCAGGGAAGAAGCGAAAGUGACGGUACCUGCAGAAGAAGCGCCGGCUAACUACGUGCCAGCAGCCGCGGUAAUACGUAGGGCGCAAGCGUUGUCCGGAAUUAUUGGGCGUAAAGAGCUCGUAGGCUGCUUGUCACGUCGGGUGUGAAAGCCCGGGGCUUAACCCCGGGUCUGCAUCCGAUACGGGCAGGCUAGAGUGUGGUAGGGGAGAUCGGAAUUCCUGGUGUAGCGGUGAAAUGCGCAGAUAUCAGGAGGAACACCGGUGGCGAAGGCGGAUCUCUGGGCCAUUACUGACGCUGAGGAGCGAAAGCGUGGGGAGCGAACAGGAUUAGAUACCCUGGUAGUCCACGCCGUAAACGUUGGGAACUAGGUGUUGGCGACAUUCCACGUCGUCGGUGCCGCAGCUAACGCAUUAAGUUCCCCGCCUGGGGAGUACGG